rnacentral:rRNA from 1 species
AGAAUGAACGCUGGCGGCAUGCCUAACACAUGCAAGUCGAACGAAUUACCUUCGGGUAGUUAGUGGCGCACGGGUGCGUAACGCGUGGGAAUCUGCCCUUGGGUUCGGAAUAACAGUGAGAAAUUACUGCUAAUACCGGAUAAUGUCGCAAGACCAAAGAUUUAUUGCCCAAGGAUGAGCCCGCGUAAGAUUAGCUAGUUGGUGGGGUAAAGGCCUACCAAGGCGACGAUCUUUAGCUGGUCUGAGAGGAUGAUCAGCCACACUGGGACUGAGACACGGCCCAGACUCCUACGGGAGGCAGCAGUGGGGAAUAUUGGACAAUGGGCGAAAGCCUGAUCCAGCAAUGCCGCGUGAGUGAUGAAGGCCUUAGGGUUGUAAAGCUCUUUUACCCGGGAAGAUAAUGACUGUACCGGGAGAAUAAGCCCCGGCUAACUCCGUGCCAGCAGCCGC